UACGUAGGGGGCAAGCGUUGUCCGGAAUCAUUGGGCGUAAAGAGCGUGUAGGCGGUUCGGUAAGUCCGUCGUGAAGUCCAGGGCUCAACCCUGGAAUGCCGAUGGAUACUGCUGGACUAGAGUCCGGGAGAGGAGAGUGGAAUUCCGUGGUGUAGCGGUGAAAUGCGCAGAUAUCAGGAGGAACACCGGUGGCGAAGGCGGGUC
rnacentral:rRNA from 1 species